GGUAGCUGUCUGUGAGGGAAAGACCGUGGAUUAAGCGGACUUUGUGGUGUUAGAUUAAUGUAGGUAUGUCAGUACUGUUGAACAUGGAAGCAGAAGUCUUCAUGCAACCAAGAACCAAUGUACCAAAGUCUCAUUGUAUCCAAACGAGACAUUAUGCUCAUUAAUAGAAGCAAAUGGAAGUGCAGGAAAUGCAGUACAUAGAAAGAAUGACAUAAGCAAUGGAAUAUUAAACACCAUUGACAUUUCUCACACUGUUUCCUGGCAGGCUUUUAUAACCAUUUUCCUAUUGGUGUACUAGCACAGGUCACCUGUUUUGCAACUUCACUGGUCAUCGGGAUUCAGUUCGAAGCGGGACUCAUCACUCAAGACGAGUCUACUGCACUCAAUGAGAUGCCAGGCAGAAGACGUGUGUGGAGACGCCCCAGACAGCAGUGGGAUAUGAAUAUGACUGUCGCCCGCCGUACAGCCCACCAACGAAGAGUAGUAGGCCUGCUCUGGGGCGCCAUUUCUUUUCAUAGCAGGACUCCUUUGGCUGUCAUCUGCGGCACCCUUACAAUACAGCGGUACUUCGUCGAUAUUCUGAUUUGUUGUCCCUCGUGCAAGCCAUCCUGGCCUUACAUUUCAACAAGAUAAUUCCCUCCCGCAAACGGCGAGAGUUUCCGCUGCUUGUCUCUGUGCUUACAAACACUAUCCUGACCAGCAAAGUCGUCGGAUCUAUCCACAAUUGAGAAUGUUCGGAGCAUUAUGAGCAGGGACCUCCAACCAGCUCGGGAUUUAGACGAUCUAAAGUGCCAACUGAACAGAAUUAGGCACGAUAUUAUCAGGUGGACAUUCAACAACUUUAUCAAUCAAUUCCAAGCCGCAUAGCUGCUUCCAUAAAAGCCAGAGGCGGACCAAUGCAUUAUCACAUUCGUAAAGA